CACCUCGAGAUUAUAGCAUCCCUCCCUUUUCUCACUCUGUAAUUUCCCUCAAAUCCCUCGCCGAUUCUCUCUCGCCAUUCUCAGUCUACCCUUUCUCAGCUUGCAGCUCCAUGCUCCACCUCCAGAUUAUAGCAUCGGGUGUAAGCAAUUGUGACGGCUUCCACUCAAGGCAUCGGCUCUUGAAGGCGCCUCCGUCGUCAUCUCCUCCCGCAAGCGUUGUAGAGUUUACCUUUUGAUUUGUGAACUUGGAACAUCUGGCAAAUUGGGAAGAGAAGCAGAUGUUCAAACAGUAAAUGGUAGGUUCAUGGAAGAUCACAGUACAGCUAGCUUCCCGUUGAAAAACAACCAUAACCGAAAGCCAUGCCUGCAGAGACUGAACCAUAACCGAAGCCCAUGCCUGCAUCAAUUGAUUGAAAAAGGU